rnacentral:lncRNA from 1 species
UACAUUUUGUAGACUAUUUUCAAUAUCUUUAGGUUUACAACAUUCAACAUCUCUGUUUUUGUACAAAUUUUCAUAAAAUAUUUUAACCUGUUUAAGUAUUUCUUUUUGGUUAGUUACAAUAUCACCAUUUUCUUUUUCAACCUUUGGAAUAAUCUUGCUGGUAAAAUUCUUAGAUUCAAGUCCACAAAAAUAACUUGUGGGUUUUUCUCCCUCUUCUAUCCACUGUAUUCUGGAUCGAACUAUUUUACCAUGCAUUUUUUCCUUUCUUAAUUUUUCUAGUUCAUUUUUUUUGUCUUCCAAUUGCUGUAUAGAACCUGAGUUUACAUUUUCUUCUAAAAUAUUAAUGUCAUCUUUUAAUGUUUUUUCCCUUUUCUCUCUUUCCUUCUUUUUGAAGCUAGAGUAUGAGAUAGUUUUGCCCCUCACCUCCAUUAAUAGAGUUUCCAAAAAAAGCUGACUAUUAAUUGUAAAAUGAAGAUCAUCAUUAUUCACUUCAUUAAUAUUGUCAAAAUUAUAUACCAAGGCUGCAUACUGUUUUUUUACAUUCAAAAUUUUUUCCUUGAUAGCAUUAACAUAGUCAGCAUCAUACAACAAAGAAUUAUUGAACUUCCAUAAACCUUUCCCCCUAAUGAAUGGAUUCAAUUCAAGUUCUAGAAUAAUUCUAGAAUGAUCUGAGCGGUAACUCGGUUCUACACAGCAAUUUUUCAAAAAUGACAAAAUGUUUUCAGAAAAUAAGAAAAAAUCAAGCCUAGCUUGUUUGAAAGGUGAUUUUUUCCUCCAAGUGUAUCUACACAGGUCAGGAAAAAGUUCCCUAUAGGGGUCAACUAGAGAUCUA